UAAAGGUCAUUUUCAUUCCUUUACCUUAUUUUUAAAUAACUCAGAUAAAUGGAUAGUUAGUACUUUUUUUAAUAAUAAGUCAACUUCUCACGAUUCUCUUUCAGCACGCCUAUCAAUAAUAGAGAGGCGGGCAGAGAGCCAGCGUUGCCAUAUUUACCGAGUAGAAUGAAUGUAUAUGGAUAUGGAUUGGACGGCAGAUCAGGGCAAGUUAAAGAGAAGAGCAUGUGAAAGCAGAACUAGUACAAAGACCCAUAAGAGGGCUUGAAAACGCGAGAUAGGUUCAAAAAUUGGCAAUUGAAUUGAGAAGGUUUUCCGCGGUUGACCGGGAAGGGCUAGCAGAAGAGGGAAGGGUUGGGGGGCAGAUUCCACCGAUGAAAGAAGCCAGGCCACAUUUCACUCUAUAGGAAUGGACAGAAGAGGCUACGAGAUUCGCACACAGGGCCAAUCAUCGAUACUUUUACAAAAAAAAAGACUAAACAAGGAAUUGACUGAAUAGGACACGAGCGGGUACUUUCAAGCCUAUGUGACCAAUGCGCUUAUGCUGCACUCAAUUUCAAAGAAGCAAGGGGAAGAGUUUCAUACUGAAAUCGAUUCACUAAAUUAGCUUAACUCUUUAACUACUUGAACUAGAGGAGCGGUACGAGCAAUAGGCUUACUACAAAAGAAAGGCUAUUUGAGAUCCAUUUUCAAGGCUCAAGUACUCUGACCCAUAAGACCGAUUAAGGAAGGGGAACUAAUUACAGAUAUCGAUUAACUGCUUGCCAACCUAUCCCUAGACCGACCGAUUCAACGGGGGAACAGGAAGGAAUACCAAUACUAAUUGCGACAGGAGAGACCGAUAGAGGUUGGACAGAUUCCUGCAGAAAGAGGAGAUAAUAAGGGAUUCGCUGCUCUAGAUACUUUGCUAUAGUGGAAUUAAUUAACUCCUAGUAAAUUAAAAAGAAGCAUUUUAUCGCACGUUUAGUGCCCCUAUUCGAGUCGAGAGCUUUCAAAAGCUUUUCACUAUCGAAAAGAGGUUUAGUUUACCCAGUUCUGAAUACAGGAAAGACCGAUUACGACUGUUGCUUCAGUGGAUACCCUUUACGACAAAGGAUGGGAAAGAAGCAAAGGACAGACCUUGAAAGACAGAUGACCGGAGACCGGGAGGGGCAGGGCAACUCUUUCUAAAGGAGGGAAUCCGUAUUCGUGGACGUAUUGCCAAUGCUUGAACAAGACAGCUUAGACCUAUUAGAGCGAUACCAGAUGACAAAAAGACAGAAAUCGAUCUAUUUAAAGACAGAAAGGGUAGGCAAAAGAGGAAGGAGAUUCAAGUGAGGGCUUGAACUGAACUUUCGCAACGACAUUACAUAACAUAAAAUUAUUAGGACUUGUGAAUGCCAGCUCUAAAGCUGCUUACGGAGAAAGAUGACGAUUUGGCUCGGGAACAAAGCUUAUGCCCUAUACCAGCCUCUUUAUACCAUACCCCGCAAUGCCAUAUGAAGCUAUUUCAUGAUCCCUUAGCUUAGCUACUUUAUGAUCCCUUGAUGGAACGAAUAACAUUUCUGCUAACUCGCGAAUCUUACACGGGCCUCCUGUUUUCGUGAAUUGGAGUUUGCACGCCCGACUUUUGCCUUUAGCUCUUCUAGAGAUGGUAGUGGACGUAGUUCAGCCCUUGAAGGAAGCUCCAGUCUGCCUAUAAGUCUUCCUCUUGGAGUGAGUCAACAUCCAUCUGCUGGGUCUACUAGUUCCCCACCUGGAGCUGCUCUUUCUUUUAGAGAGGACAGAAAGACUGGAAACCAAGAUUUCUCUUCGGGGGAAGUUACGAUGGGGCUAUAGCUCAAGAAAAGGAAGCGAGCUAACUCGACUGGGAAAGGAAAGAAGAGGCAGUUUACUCACGAUACCAGCGGAAUAGGAGCACAGAAGGUCUUUCUUCCCAGGGUGGAACCAUUCUCAAGAGAUAGAACCGAAGCAUAAGAGGAGAAGUAGGACUUUCUCAAAGCAGACCUACGUGUGUAGCAUGGUCGUCAGCUCAUCCCUAACUAUAGAUAGAGCAGUCGCCAAAUCCAAUCCUAAUCAUAUGAGUGUCUUUUUCUCAUGUGAAGGUCGCCUUAGUCUUUAUUUGGAUUCCCUGGAUAGAAUAAGUCCUAUCUUCCUUUCAAUCAGCUCGCUAAUAGAAAGUAUAUAGAUUGUUCGAAGCUUCAGUGGUGGACCACCCAAUGUGUAUUUCUUGGCUACAGCUCUUCACACAAAGGCUAUCGCUGUCUUUACCCACGGACCGAAAUUCUUCCUUCUCUACCUAAGCCCACCAUCCUAGCUUUCUUUGCUUUGCUCGUGUAUGUUGUCAAAGCAAAGUAAAGUGCGCGCUAAAACUUAAGCUAUGUGCAUUUCUAGCGUUGGUAGUCUUACCGUAGAAAGCAACUUGGUAGGUCAGACAGACUAACCUGUGGGCGGUCCUCUGUACUUUUGUGGUAUCGCUAGCCUAGCGCUUAGAUCGAUCGCGGUACCUUCUUCAAAAAUGAAU
rnacentral:lncRNA from 1 species